GUGGGGGGAGGUGGGGGGCGGGUGGCAGAGAGAAGCCACAGUCUCUCCUGACGGUGGGCGGGCGGCCAGAGCGUCCCGUCACGCCGCCUAGACUUCGGAGAACCGGUGACCGCUAGGUGACGCCCGAUGACAACAUAUGCAAGUGUCAGCCCGGCACCCUCCCAGGCAUUUCCCCCACAACUAAUGGAGCGGAGACCCUGAGGGGGAAGGAAGCACCGUGACUCGGCAAUACGCGCAGAAACACACGCACCUACGUACGUGCGUAGGUACGUACGUACGCACGCACGCACGCACGCACGGACGUACCCACGCACGCACUCACACGCACGGCGUAUCCCACAGAAUAGCAGAGUGUAUACCGUGAUAGCGAGAGGGCCCACGCCAUUUUCUUCUCUAGUAACAAAAGAAAAAGCAGGCCGAGGCCCGGCGGCCCACGCCCCUCACCCCAGCACUCCGCUCAUCAUCAGGCCGCAAGAAUAAGCAGCCCGACCCGACCCGACCCUCCCGCUGGGUCCGGGAGCAAUUGCACUCCAGCCCGGGCGACAGAGCGAGCGAGCGAGCGGAACCUCUGUCGCAGAAGAAAACAAUUAAAAAGAAGGAAGAUAGAUAGAUCAUCAGCCGGCCGUUUUGUGUCGUGCUGCGUCCUGGCACCCGCCCGGGCCGGUAGGCCCAGCUCCUCAGGGGCUGAGUCAGGGGAGCAUCUCUCUAAGCCCACCAGUCAGUUCAAGGUCACAGUGACCUACGUACGAUCGGCCUGGGCGACACAGGGAGACCCCAUCUCUAAAAAAGUACAUGGAAGCGUGGACGGUCGUAGAAGACAUACAAGGAGGUGGCGGAGCACGGGAAGGCUCCGCUCGUUCCUGAAGACCAGAGCACAGCCGGGUGCGGUGGCUCAAGCCUGUCGUCCCAGCACUUUGGGAGGCCGAGGCGGGUGGAUCACGAGGUCGAGAGAUCGAGACCAACCUGGUCAACGGGGUGAAACCCCGUCUCUGCUAAACAUA